UGAAGAGUUUGAUCAUGGCUCAGAUUGAACGCUGGCGGCAGGCCUAACACAUGCAAGUCGAACGGUAACAGGAAGCAGCUUGCUGCUUUGCUGACGAGUGGCGGACGGGUGAGUAAUGUCUGGGAAACUGCCUGAUGGAGGGGGAUAACUACUGGAAACGGUGGCUAAUACCGCAUAACGUCGCAAGACCAAAGAGGGGGACCUUCGGGCCUCUUGCCAUCAGAUGUGCCCAGAUGGGAUUAGCUUGUUGGUGAGGUAACGGCUCACCAAGGCGACGAUCCCUAGCUGGUCUGAGAGGAUGACCAGCCACACUGGAACUGAGACACGGUCCAGACUCCUACGGGAGGCAGCAGUGGGGAAUAUUGCACAAUGGGCGCAAGCCUGAUGCAGCCAUGCCGCGUGUAUGAAGAAGGCCUUCGGGUUGUAAAGUACUUUCAGCGGGGAGGAAGGUGUUGUGGUUAAUAACCGCAGCAAUUGACGUUACCCGCAGAAGAAGCACCGGCUAACUCCGUGCCAGCAGCCGCGGUAAUACGGAGGGUGCAAGCGUUAAUCGGAAUUACUGGGCGUAAAGCGCACGCAGGCGGUCUGUCAAGUCGGAUGUGAAAUCCCCGGGCUCAACCUGGGAACUGCAUUCGAAACUGGCAGGCUUGAGUCUUGUAGAGGGGGGUAGAAUUCCAGGUGUAGCGGUGAAAUGCGUAGAGAUCUGGAGGAAUACCGGUGGCGAAGGCGGCCCCCUGGACAAAGACUGACGCUCAGGUGCGAAAGCGUGGGGAGCAAACAGGAUUAGAUACCCUGGUAGUCCACGCCGUAAACGAUGUCUACUUGGAGGUUGUGCCCUUGAGGCGUGGCUUCCGGAGCUAACGCGUUAAGUAGACCGCCUGGGGAGUACGGCCGCAAGGUUAAAACUCAAAUGAAUUGACGGGGGCCCGCACAAGCGGUGGAGCAUGUGGUUUAAUUCGAUGCAACGCGAAGAACCUUACCUGGUCUUGACAUCCACAGAACUUUCCAGAGAUGGAUUGGUGCCUUCGGGAACUGUGAGACAGGUGCUGCAUGGCUGUCG
rnacentral:rRNA from 1 species